GAGGUAUGAGAGGGGUUUACAAACACAGUGUAAAACAGUCAGUUCUACUGGGAAUAAAAGUAAAUCCACAGCCACAAGCGUGAAAGGGCAAUGAGCCUUAUAAUGGUGAAAGUUGUUAAUUGAAAUAUAUUUGGCUUUCCAUGGUCCAGAUUGUGCAGUUAAGACUGGAGAUUUCAGAAAGCAAACGACAGUGAACAGCCCACAGUUCUUAAGUCAAACAGGAACUUCAGAAACCGUGUAACUACAUGCCAUGGUUGAGCGACAGUGACAGUGUGUGUAAGGGUCGAGGGGGUUGCUGGAGUCUAUCCCAGCAUGCAUUGUGUGAGAGUCAGGAAGAGGCAGUGGUAUGGAGCGGAAUAUUCAUAACACCUGCUGAGUUGCUUUGUGUACAAGAAGUAUCAUGGCUGAAGACAGGGUGAUUAUACAACAGGGGUCACAAUGCAGUCCUGGAGGGCCACAGUGUCUGCAGGUUUAACUCCAGUCCUGGAGGGCCGCAGUGUCUGCAGGUUGAACUCCAGUCCUGGAGGGCCGCAGUGUCUGCAGGUUCAGUCCAGUUUGGUCUUAGUUUGCACAUAUUUCACGAUUACUCUAAACUGUUUGUAUUAUGUGCUUAAAUGAAAAACACGAUUUUAAAGCUUG